UAUAUUUAGUAUUUUAUUUAUAUUUUUGUUUAUUUUUUAAAAUUUAAAGUUUUUAAAAUUAAUUUUUUUUAUAUUUUGUCUUAAGGACAGUUUAGAAAUUUCAGUCUUCAUAUAAAAGAUUUGUCUUUAUUUACUCAAUUUGAAAAAAUAUAAGGUAAAUUUUUAAACAAAAAAGAUAUUUACACAUUCUCUAUAUAACAAUUUUUAUUUUUUUACACUUUAUCCUUUUUAUUUUAUUUUAUUAUUUUCUCUGUUGCCUUUUGUUUCUCAGAGAAGUGGGCGACCAGCCAGCCAACUGCGCUACUUUUUUCACUGCGUGGAACAAAGCAAGCAAGUCUCUUAGCAAACAAGCUAUCUCUCGAAUCUUCAGCUGUUUGUGUUGGAUUUUGGACAAAAUCAAAUCCCAUGGAGAAAACCAGUGAGAAGGUUGAUAAAGGAGGGUUGUGUUUGGAGGAUCACAUUCGUGGACUUCCUUAUUGUUAAGACGUGCUACAAUUUUCCUGACACGGGUCGGAUUACAAAUCACUUGCAUUCAUUGUCUCUUGGGUUUACUAUCUGCAACUCCCUAACCAAUCUCCUGCUGGCACAUGUGAAUGUAACUGGACAAGUUCUCGAGUACUUCUUAACUAAGUGUCCAUUUCUGGAACAAUUGUCUGUGCAAGACUCUGACUGUCUAGUAAAUCUGAAAGUUCCCAAUGUAUCAAUCAAAUUGAAGCGCUUGGAGAUAACUUAUUGCCACUAUGUGAAAAGUAUUGAGAUUUCUGCAAUGAAUCUUAUGUCUUUUAAAUACUUCGGACCAAAAAUAGGCCUGCCAUUUAAGGACCUCCAGAUUCUGUUGAAAUGUAUAUCGGGGCUGAGUAUUGCAAAUAUCUAAUUUAUAACAUUUUGGGGAUUUCAAGCUAUCUUUCCCAGCUAGAGAGCCUUACCUUGCACAUGACCUCCAUCAAGAAUAGUAUUGGUUUAGCCAAAUUUCCUGUAUUUAAUAAGCUCAAGCAACUGGAGUUAGAGAAUUAGUGCAAUUGAAAAUGAAGAACUUAUGGUUUUUGCUCCCCUAAUAGAGGCAUGUCCUUUCUUGUAUAAAUUUGUGUUGGAGCUGCAAUUGUUGCGACUGUUUACAUCUCGGCCCCAUCAGUACCUUAAGGUGGUGGAAUUCAUUGGGUUUGCUGGGCUUACAAUUGAUGUUGAGCUUGCAAUGUAUUUAAUUAAGAGUGCUGUCAUGCUUGAGAAGAUUACUUUUGAUCCUCGCAAUCCACUUCUUAUAAGAAGUCCAUUGGAGUUUAUGGAGACCAAGGAGAAAAAAACAGCGAGAAAACGUGCCAAAUACCUUGGAACCAAACUUCCUGCUGGAGUAGCUUUAGUAAUCCUUUAAAUCUUUGAUUAUAUGUUAUAAGCUAUUGCUUGUACAUCUUACUCUUGUAAAUAUAUCGGAUAGUUCAAUGUUGGGAAAAGGCUUAAGUGGAAGUAUUAAUUGCAAAAGGAAGUUGAGAGAUUUUUAUUUAUUUUAUUUUACCUUGGCAAGAUACUCACACUCUUUUACCCCUAUGAAAACUUAAACCCUAACUUUCCACUUUGGGGGGUAGGAGAUACCAUGUUUGGAUGGGCAGCUAUGUAUAUGAUUUUUGGCUGGCUACACAUGAAAUCUCUCUCUCUCUCUCUCUCUGUGUGUCUCUGAGUUGAAUUAGUUAUACACGGGGUCAUGUUUUUCCAUGAAAAUUGAGCAUGAUUAAAGGUCAUACUCAUUUUAUUUGGUACAGAAAAAUGAUAUUUCACACUAAUAUUUAUAAUAGGUACAAACAUUACAAUGCUUAAUUUUCACAACACGAGACUCAACUUGGAAUAUUCAUAUUAUCAUUCUUUCUUCUACCUUAUAUGAACAAAGUCUUUCAUAUGAAGUUUUUUAUUACUUUUGUUAUCAACCAUGUACUCUAAAAGUUUAAGUUGUUAGAGAGGGUAUAACUUUAAUGUUUAACUUUCACACUUAAACAACACGUGUUUUAAUUUUAAUUAUGAGAGUGAUGGUGAAGUUUGAACACAGGACUUGCCUGUUCCGAUACCAUGUUAACAACCAUCUACUCUAAAAGCUUAAGUUGUUAGAGAGGGUGUAGAUUUAAUAUUUAAAUCCUUCAACAAUUUUAGCUUUCAAAUCAAUGACUAUAUCCCUACAUCCAUUGUUAGCAUAUAGGAAGAUACCCAAGACAAGAUGGUAUAAAUAGAGGAGUGCAUCUAGUCUAUUUUGUGAUAGGCGUGUCCCCUUAAGAUUGAAAGGGAAGUUCUAUCGAACCACUAUUAGGGUACCCAUACUUUAUGGCACAGAGUGUUGGGCAACUAGGAAACAAUAUAGGCAUAAAUUGAGUGUGGUGGAAAUAUAAAUGUUGGGAUGGAUUAGCGGUUAGACUAUAAAGGAUAGAAUUAGAAAUGAUCACAUUCGGAAGAUGGUUGGAGUAGCACAAAUCAGAGAUAAAAUGAGAGGAAAUCGGUUAAGAUGGUUUGGACGUGUGCAAAUAAGACCUUAAAAGCGCUAGUUAGGAAGAGUGGCAUAGUCCACAUACUAGGGGAAGAGGAAGAUCAAAGUUAAUGUAGGUAGAGUUAGUAAAGAAGGAUAUGAUAGCAUGUGCUUGAUUGAGUCUUUGACCUUAGAUAGAGCGGUAUGGAAACAUAGGAUUCAUGUAGCCGUCCCCAAGUAGUUGGGAAAAAGGCUUGGUAGUGGUGGUUGUUGUUUAUACAAUUUUCACCUGUUUUUAAAACCUUAACAUGUCCUAAAUUCGGCUUCAAUCUACCUUCUCACUCUUUCUUUUAGGGCCAAAGUCCAUCAUACUUCACACUGUAGCUUUUCAUCUUUUAAGACUGUUACAACUCUAUGCAACAAGCAAGUUCGGAGGUGACUAAGAAAGUUGAUUACUUCAAUUUAGAAGAAAUCUUUAUGGGAAUGAAGGCAAUAGGAAUAUGCAGAUGAGUGCUCUAGAAGAACAUAGCAAUAGCUUGCUUCACAAAGAUGCUCUUCGUUUCCAGAUGCUUCAAAAGACAAGAUUAUUGUUAAUAAUCCCGUUUACGUAAAAGGAAGUCCACGGGAGUUCAUGGAGACGAAGGAGAAAAAAAAACAGCGAGAAAGCGUGCCAAGUACCUUGGAACCAAACAUCCUGCUGGAGCAGCUUUAGCCAACUACUGGUGGCACUGCACCUGCGAAGGUGUGAACUGCUGCGAUUAUGAUUGACAAAUACAAUGCUCUUCGCCUGUAAGACUUUGAGAAAGUGGUACUCUUUUUUUGUUGGAUCAAUAAUGUACGAUUUCCGAUGCCUGGUACGAUUGAUAUUUGAUGCUUGCAGGGAUUGUAUUCGAUCCAAGACGUAUUAGUAUCUGUUUGCAUUCUUCAUAAUUUUGCAGUUUACCCUCUGAUUCUUUAGAGGAUUGUUUUGAUUUCAUCCUCUUGUCUCUGCCGAGAAAAUAGCAACUUGAUAUGAUGGAUUAAUGGUUUUGUCAUUUGGAGGAAUCUUGUGCCGAUAAUAAUGUGGCAAAUUCAGGUUCUUUUGUAGUCUGCCAUGUACCAUAUUGUUUUGAUGAUAGUUGAUGCUUUAAAUCAGUUAAUGUGACAAUUCCUAUUGAUCAAAUUUAUUCUAAAAUUUCCAUGUUGACAUGGCAUCAUUAUUGCUAACUAUGGGACUAAAAAUUUCGGUUUAGUUAUCACUUUCAUUUCUUCCAUUGAAUGAAAUACUCCUGGUUGUAGACCAUGGAACAAUCUGCCACUAAUCGUUCCAGCAUAAGAGCUAUUUGCUUCAUUAUUACAGCUGAUUAACAGUGAUUUUUUCGAUUGGGCGAUGAUACUUGAACUCUGCUUUAUGCUGUUGCAUAUAAUAUGUUUUUUUUUUUUUUUUCGUAGAAAACGAAAUGACAAUUGUUCUUCAAAUGCAGUCUCACACUAUAGAAAUAUUUUGAAACAAUAUCGUGUAAUGCGAAUCUCUCAUUCCUUUUGUUUUUUGCUUCCAGAUGCAUGCAACUAAUAUUCUGGACUAGUUGAAGUAGAAUUAAAAAUAAUCAUGAGUUUGGUAUAUAUUUUAGUUCAAUGGUUUGUCUGCCACUUUCUUUGAUACGCUACUAGUUACAUGCUACUAUGAUUUUGGCUUCAAUGUUGUCUGUCAUUUUCUUUGCUAUGGUCUUGGCUUGGGUUAUGGGGAAUACUAUAUGAAAAGAGAUUAAUAAUUAAUAUAAUCUUCUGAUGGCACAUGUGAAUUUAACUGGACAAGUUCUCGAGUAGUUCUUAACUAGCUGUCCAUUUUUGGAACAAUUGUCUGUGCAAGACACUGACUCGUAAAUCUGAAAGUUCCUGAUGUAUCACUCAAAUUGAAGCACUUGGAGAUAACUAACUGCUUCAAUGUUGAAAAUAUUGAGAUUUCUGCAAUGAAUCUCUGUCACUUAAGUAAUUCGGACCAAAAAUAAACCUGCCAUUUAAGAACAUACAGAAGCUUGUUGCACUGUAUAUCGAGGGUUAGUUUUGCAAAUCUCUAAUUUUAACUUUUUUGGGGAUUUUAAGUAAUCUUUCUGAGCUAGAGAGCCUUAUAUUGCACAGGACCUCCAUUGAGGUUAUUAAGUGGAACUAAUUCAUUUUAUCUCCUCCCCCUUUAAUUUUAUUUUAUUCAAUCUGUGCUGAUUUUUUACUUUUUCUUUGGUUUAUUCAGAAUAGUAUUGGGUUUGCUAAAUUUCCUAUAUUUAAUAAGCUCAAGUAACUGGAGUUGGGAAUUGGUGCAAGUGAUGAUGAAGACAUUAUUGUUUUUGCUCCCCUGAGGCAUGUACUUUCUUGUAUAAAUUUGUGUUGGAGCUGCAAUGGUCCAAGUCCAAUCUGAGAAGAAAACAGCUAAGGGUUACAUCUUGGCCCCAUCAGAACCUUAAGGAAGUCCUUGGGAGUUCAUGGAGACCAAGGAGAAAAAAGCAGCGAGAAAGCGUACCAAGUACCUUGGAACCGGACUUCCUGCUGGAGCAGCUUCAGCUGUAGAGAAGCUAAGCUUGUGGGGUUUGUUUACCUGUGGCCUUCCUCUUCGUAUUGUCAUGAUCGGAACCCUUACUGGAGUGCAGUGGGGUAUCUAUGAUGCUUUCAAAGUUUUUGUUGGGUUGCCAACUACUGGUGGC